rnacentral:rRNA from 1 species
AUGUGUGAUGGGGAUACCACCUCCACCAAUGUUUAUCACUAUCGGAUGCGUACCUUUAAUGGCUACGUUAAACAAUGUGGUCUCUUUGAUCUUGGUUUUAGUGGGCCUGACUAUACUUGGACGAACAAGCGUUUCUCUUCAGCCCCUGUGUUUGAAAGGCUUGACCGCUGUCUUGCAAAUGUCAAAUGGUGUGAUGUUCCUAAUACAAAUGUUUUUAAUCUUCCAAUUAUUCUUAGUGAUCAUGCGCCCAUUCUUGUUUCCACUGAGUCUCAAUUUCUUAGGCCGAAGCUCAGUUUUAAAUUUGAAAACUGGCAGACCAUGGAAGAAGACUUCCAAAAUGUCGCAAAAUCUACUUGGUGCUCCUCUAUUAAUCAAUAUUUCUGGUCUAGGACAACUAACCUUGCAGGUACUCUUAAGAAAUGGUGCAAAAAUAAAAAACCAAUCCAGCAAUAG